AAAAUGUGAUAAGUAAUGUGAAUUGCAGAAUUUUGUGAAUCAUCAAAUCUUUGAACACAUAUUGCGCUCUCUGGUAUUCUGAAGAGCAUGCCUGUCCGAGCAUCAUUACUAUCUUCAAGCAUGGCUUGAUUGUUGAGCCAAUUGUCCUGUUGAUGGACAGGCUUAAAAUGUAGUCACGAUGUCGAGUCCUGGUGCCUGAGCAUAUGGAGCCUGUCACAUGCUUUAAUGACCCAGCCGGCAUUUUUGUCAAUUAAACCUUAAAAAAAGGCUAAAAUUUGACCUCGGAUCAGGUAAGAAUACCCACUGAACUUAA
rnacentral:misc_RNA from 1 species